rnacentral:rRNA from 1 species
UAGGGAAUCUUGGACAAUGGGCGCAAGCCUGAUCCAGCCAUGCCGCGUGAGUGACGAAGGCCUUCGGGUUGUAAAGCUCUUUUACCAGGGACGAUAAUGACGGUACCUGGAGAAUAAGUCCCGGCUAACUUCGUGCCAGCAGCCGCGGUAAUACGAAGGGGACUAGCGUUGUUCGGAAUUACUGGGCGUAAAGCGCACGUAGGCGGGAUGGUCAGUCAGAGGUGAAAUCCCAGAGCUCAACUCUGGAACUGCCUUUGAUACAACCAUUCUUGAGUCCGAUAGAGGUGAGUGGAAUUCCUAGUGUAGAGGUGAAAUUCGUAGAUAUUAGGAAGAACACCAGUGGCGAAGGCGGCUCACUGGAUCGGUACUGACGCUGAGGUGCGAAAGCGUGGGGAGCAAACAGGAUUAGAUACCCCCGUAGUCC